CGCGGCCUAUCAGCUUGUUGGUGAGGUAAUGGCUCACCAAGGCGACGACGGGUGGCCGGCCUGAGAGGGUGACCGGCCACACUGGGACUGAGACACGGCCCAGACUCCUACGGGAGGCAGCAGUGGGGAAUAUUGCACAAUGGGCGAAAGCCUGAUGCAGCGACGCCGCGUGCGGGAUGACGGCUUUCGGGUUGUAAACCGCCUUCAGCAGGGAAGAAGCGCAAGUGACGGUACCUGCAGAAGAAGCGCCGGCUAACUACGUGCCAGCAGCCGCGGUAAUACGUAGGGCGCGAGCGUUAUCCGGAAUUAUUGGGCGUAAAGAGCUCGUAGGCGGUUUGUCACGUCUGCUGUGAAAGCCCGGGGCUCAACCCCGGGUGUGCAGUGGGUGCGGGCAGACUAGAGUGCAGUAGGGGAGACUGGAAUUCCUGGUGUAGCGGUGAAAUGCGCAGAUAUCAGGAGGAACACCGAUGGCGAAGGCAGGUCUCUGGGCUGUUACUGACGCUGAGGAGCGAAAGCAUGGGGAGCGAACAGGAUUAGAUACCCUGAUAGUCCAUGCCGUAAACGUUGGGCACUAGGUGUGGGGAACAUUCCACGUUUUCCGCGCCGUAGCUAACGCAUUAAGUGCCCCGCCUGGGGAGUACGG
rnacentral:rRNA from 1 species